rnacentral:rRNA from 1 species
GCAAGUCGAGGGGUAACAGGGAGAAGCUUGCUUUUCCGCUGACGACCGGCGCACGGGUGAGUAACGCGUAUAGAACCUACCUUUUACUGAGGGAUAGCCUUUAGAAAUGAAGAUUAAUACCUCAUGGUAUUGAAUUUUGGCAUCAGAAUUUAAUUAAAGAUUUAUUGGUAAAAGAUGGCUAUGCGUCCUAUUAGUUAGUUGGUGAGGUAACGGCACACCAUGGCAACGAUAGGUAGGGGCCCUGAGAGGGGGAUC